AAUAGUCUCAUGAACACAUUAUUUGUUAAUUUUGUGGCCCUCUGUCACUUUAAUAAAGGACAACUCAAAUCUUGGGCUUCAACUGUAAAAGCCUUUAUUAUUGAUGCAUUCAAGCUGUAGAGAAGCAAGAGCAAGGUCAAGGGUGACAGAGUUCUUCCCCCUAUAAGGGAAGUGUUGACAACCUGCUGGCCCUUUCUCAGAGAUUCUGCAGUAGGCAAUGAGGCACUUUGCUACACUUAUUCAUGAGAAAAUAUUCUAGUCUUUUGAGGAUGUGCAAUGAGGUUGCAUUGAUGAAAGUUUCAAGAUUUCAUUUAAUUCUAAAAAUUUUAUGUAUUGGAAGCACCCCAUUUUCAACAUCAGCUUUGGCCCAUCAGAUUUGGAGCUUGUUUGGACUUGAUGGAUACCACUCCCAGCUAGACGUGGAGUGACCUUUCCUCUCUGGAGUUUGGAAUUGCACUCCGAAUGACAGGCACUCUCAAAGCCACACACAUUCUCCUCUCUGCCAUGGGACAGAAAUUUGGCAGCAGGUGAGUUGUGUCUGUUU
rnacentral:lncRNA from 1 species